rnacentral:lncRNA from 1 species
AGGACUGUUAUUUAUAAAGGGUCAUUAGGCUUAUCAAAGGAUUAACCUCUCCCAAAAGCGAAUUGGGCCAACACCGCUUUUAAUUGAAAGCUGGCUUGAAAAGAAAAAAAUGUAGGUCUGGGCAUGAUGAAUGUAUACCAAGUCCAACUUGUGAAAGGAUUUUGGAUUUGGGCUUGGGAUGAGCCCAAGUCUAUCAUGAGAUAAGACUUGGCAUCAAAUCUGGACGGGGCCCAACCAAAUUCGAGAAGGAAAAUAGGCUCUGAAUAGCCAUAACAUAGUCACAAAAGAGAUACUAAAUAUCAACAUUAUGGAUAAAUAAGUCAUUGAUGAAAACACCAAUCAAUGCAAUUUUCUAAGCUAUUGUUGCAAUUCCAGGACACCAGCAGUUUGCCCGAUAAUCUACGCAUCAAUAUGAUUUACAAGUUCAGCAUAAAUGCAUCAACGUAUGUUAAUCUCCAUUCCAUUUCCCUUUUAAAUCCUUAUUCUAAAUCACUUCAAAUCAACAGUUUACUCCAAAACAGAAUAUUCAGCUACUCCUCAUGACAUCUUGCCUCUAAUGUAACUCAAACUUGAACAAUAUUCAUACACUAACAUGAAAUUAUGGCCACAACAGUAUGCUUACUAACACAACAUAAUUCUAGCUAACAUAUUCAAACAUAGAAUCUAGAUGAUGAUCCAAUUUCAUCAAGUUCCCAUCCUUACCAGAUCAGAUAUGAAGACCAUAACAAGAAUUCUAAGUUCAACACUUAGCUAUGAAUGCUUUGCUAAAAAUAACCUCAUAUCAUGUACAAACCCAACUCAGUUCUCACAAUGAACAUACAGUACACAAAAUAGGUUCAGAAUCCUGUAAUCUAAGAAAAAUGAAACUAAUCCAAAGACUCAAAACAAUGAAACCAUGCUUAGAAUUUCGAGUUUUAUUUCAUACUUCAUCUCACAACUUCUCAUGAUAUGGGAUUCAGGAAAGUUUACCUGGAAAGCUAAACAAAACAAAAAAAUGAAGGAUCAGCAGUGAACAGUAGCAGCCAGCCCAGAUUCGACCAGUCAAAAGUGAAAUCACCUCAAAAUUUUUAUGGAAUAGUAAACCAGCACCCAAGCUUGAACCAAAACUUUUCAAAACAGAACUUCAAUCCAUUUCAACCCCAUGAUGAGAAACUAUGAUUUUCAAAAUUUUGUUCACAAAAUGAAAUCAGAAGACUCAACAAUGAGUAAAAAUUUGAGCAGUUUACUAAACAUAAACUGUGAGAAAAUCAGAAUUCUCAAGAAAUCCCAGCCGUUUUAGUUUUCUCUGAAUUUUUACCUCUAAAAAUCUUAUUUUAGUGUCAAGUUAAGGUGCCUUUAUAGGAAAAC